GUCAAAGGUCAUACUACGCCGAAAACACCAGUUCUCGUUCGAUCAGUGCAAUUAAGCAGCGUUGGGUACGGUUAGUACUUGGAUGGGUGGUGACCACCUGGGAAUACUGUGUACUGUCGGCG
rnacentral:rRNA from 1 species